UGUCAUUUAAAUAUGCAUGAAGCUGAGUGAUGAGUUUUGCGUAGACUGACACGCUGGCUCCCACGAACGUAGCGAGCUAUGUUUCGUCUUCUGACAUUGUGGAUUCCUGUGUUAGCUGGUUUUCGGAGAAUUCUUAGUGAUGCAGAAUUUGCGAUAUUUUUGACACGUAUUUUUCUGUUUGGUAAAAGGAGACCAUUUCAUUGUCGCAAGUGAUGAUAGGUAGAAUUUUUUAAAGGAGAUGAAGGAUGAUCCAAGCAAGGUGAUGUCGAGCCAUUGUUGAUCGUGGUUGAUUGUUUACGCGUUCGAUUAUAACGCACACCAUAAAUCUUGAAACAAAUGUACAAUGCCGCGAACAAGCGAUAAAUUCAAUUAUUGUAAUCAAUCAGAUAUGAAGCUCCGGAUCAUUAUGGAAAUGUAUUACAAGGAUUCUUUUCUAGAAAGGCUGGCAAAUCGGAUAUAGCGUCGCUAUUGUACUUGCGGCUAGCUGUUUAAACGUAUGCGACGUACAAUGUACUAAAACUGUCGUGACGUAGCCUCGAGGCACGAAGAAGGUACUGUGAAGUGAUUCAUUCGGCGAUCGAGAAGGAUUCGUGGAAAAGUGAGUGUACUUUCGUAAAACACGUAAGAAAGACAGAGUAUUAAUCUACACGAGGUUGCGAAUAAUAGUAUGACUAAUCGUUAGUUUCCUGUUUUCAAUGUGAAUAGGGGCCGUGUUCUUGAUAAAGUGACAAUUAUCAUUCUGUUGUUAGUUUAUUCAUUGCAAAUGACCAACUUCAGGAAAUUAUCUUUUAUGUACAUCCUUCAGUCGUAAUUGCCUUCGCGAUGUAGCGAGAUUGUAAAUUAAGGCGUCAAGUAGCGAGAUCGAUUAAUACUGGCAGUAGCGUGCAACGUUUUAUCUUUUUUCAAUGGAGACAUCAGCGUGUUUUACCUUUUUCAAUGGAAACGUCAGGCGAGAAUUCUAUCAUUCCAAGGGCUUUUUUUUCCCAAAGGGCAACAAUUUUAUGGGAUAUGCAACAUCAUGAUGAAAUUGGGAUUCUUAAAGAGUCUCUACAUUUGAAGGAUCAAUUCUAAGAAUCAUAAAAAUAAAAGUCGAAGAACGAAAGGAACGACAGAGGUGAGAAAAAAUGCAAGGAAUGAGACGAUAGGAAAAAGAGAAGAAAUCUUUGAGACUUCCAUUUCCAUAGGAUUAUAUUUAUUGUCAGAUAUUCGUUAUUAAAGGUAAACUUUAUCAUUAAGGUUAUUUCAUCGUGGAAUACUAGAAAUCAUCACCGCCUUUCCACUUUUCCCUUUCAACCACAGAAGCAUCCAAAACCGUCGUCGAGCAUUCUCAUCAACAUCAAUCAUUUUUCAUAGCAAUUCUCAUCAAUAUACUCCGCCGGCCUCCUUUUGCUCGUCAUUAGCACAAGAUAAACUCAAUUGCCGCAACCCAUAUACCCGGCCAUCAACCACGUUUCUCCAUCAUCCAUAUUUGCCGCUUCGAUCAUCCAGAAACGUUUCUCUCCUCUUCCUUUCUCGAUCAACCAUGUCAAACGCAUUGGUCCCACUUUAUGCGUGUGACCCAGUGAAUAGUUGAAACGUGCUCGGAGCAUUUACGAACUUUGAUCGUAAACGUGAUUCAUGAGUCGUAGUCGACCGUAUCGUAACCUUGAGCAACCGACGAAGGCCAAGGUGAGAACGCGCCAGCCACUUACUGCUCUCGAUGAAAACGAACGAACAGACUUACGCGGUUCAACGUUCGCCAUAAUUAGGGACCGGCUUGAUUUUUCCGAAAGCGUCGCCACUCAUCAUUCGUCAACCGUUGCUACCUGCUGGGUAAACCGCGGGAAACGCGAACACCUUGACGAGUUUCAACCGUCUGCCAUCUAAUGCGUCGACCAAUACAAUGACGGUUUUCGGAUUUCACGCUAAGAGAAAAUUGCCUUAGCCCCCAGGAGGUGAUGGAACAGCUUUCGUUACAAAAUAGUGUUUCCAUUAGUUCAAGUUUUAUUGUUAAAAUAUGUGUUUAUUACUGGAACUUUCGAGAAUUUUUACUUAUUUUUGAAUAGGUUUAUUAAUGUCACGAUUUUUAUUUAUUACUACCUGCACAUUGGGGUACCUCAAAAUUUUUCAUAAAGAAAAUUUCAUAAGAAAAUAGUAUAGAAAUUUCUAGUCUAUUUAUUAUUUUCUAUCGGAUGAUAUUAUUAUCAAUUUGAGCUUGUGUUUCAG